rnacentral:rRNA from 1 species
UACGGAGGGUGCAGGCGUUACUCGGAAUUACUGGGCGUAAAGAGUGCGUAGGUGGUUGAUUAAGUUAUCUGUGAAAUCCCUGGGCUUAACCUGGGCAGGUCAGAUGAUACUGAUUAACUCGAGUAUGGGAGAGGGUAGUGGAAUUUCCGGUGUAGCGGUGAAAUGCGUAGAGAUCGGAAGGAACACCAGUGGCGAAGGCGGCUACCUGGCCUAAUACUGACACUGAGGCACGAAAGCGUGGGGAGCAAACAGG